AACGCGAAGAACCUUACCUACCCUUGACAUGUCUGGAAUCCCGAUGAAAGUUGGGAGUGCUCGAAAGAGAGCCAGAACACAGGUGCUGCAUGGCUGUCGUCAGCUCGUGUCGUGAGAUGUUGGGUUAAGUCCCGCAACGAGCGCAACCCUUGCCAAUAGUUGCUACGAAAGGGCACUCUAUUGGGACUGCCGGUGACAAACCGGAGGAAGGUGGGGAUGACGUCAAGUCCUCAUGGCCCUUAUGGGUAGGGCUUCACACGUCAUACAAUGGUCGGUACAGAGGGCUGCCAACCCGCGAGGGGGAGCUAAUCCCAGAAAACCGAUCGUAGUCCGGAUUGUAGUCUGCAACUCGACUACAUGAAGUCGGAAUCGCUAGUAAUCGCGGAUCAGCAUGUCGCGGUGAAUACGUUCCCGGGCCUUGUA
rnacentral:rRNA from 1 species